rnacentral:rRNA from 1 species
CCUUAGUUACCAGCACGUUAUGGUGGGCACUCUAAGGAGGACUGCCGGUGACAAACCGGAGGAAGGUGGGGAUGACGUCAAGUCAUCAUGGCCCUUACGGCCUGGGCUACACACGUGCUACAAUGGUCGGUACAAAGGGUUGCCAAGCCGCGAGGUGGAGCUAAUCCCAUAAAACCGAUUGUAGUCCGGAUCGCAGUCUGCAACUCGACUGCGUGAAGUCGGAAUCGCUAGUAAUCGUGAAUCAGAAUGUCACGGUGAAUACGUUCCCGGGCCUU